rnacentral:rRNA from 1 species
UACGUAGGCAGCGAGCGUUGUUCGGAAUUACUGGGCGUAAAGAGUGUGUAGGCGGUGUUCCCAGUCUGUUGUGAAAUCUCCCGGCUUAACUGGGAGGGUGCAGCGGAAACUAGAAUGCUAGAGGGUGGGAGAGGUAAGCGGAAUUCCUGGUGUAGCGGUGAAAUUCGUAGAUAUCGGGAGGAACACCAGUGGCGAAGGCGGCGACCUGGGCCAAUACUGACGCUGAGGUGCGAAAGCGUGGGGAGCAAACAGG